rnacentral:rRNA from 1 species
GCGCAGCAGGCGAGAAACCUCCGCAAUACAUGAAAGUGUGACGGGGCCAUCCCGAGUGCCGUCCGCUGAGGACGGCUUUUCCCCAGUGUACACAGCUGGGGGAAUAAGGAGAGGGCAAGCCUGGUGUCAGCCGCCGCGGUAAUACCAGCUCUCCGAGUGGUGGGGACGCUUAUUGGGCCUAAAGCAUCCGUAGCCGGCUGGGCAAGUCCUCCGUUAAAUCCAACGAUUCAAUCGUUGGGCUGCGGGGGAUACUGUCCAGCUUGGGGGCGGGAGAGGCCGACGGUAUUCCCGGGGUAGGGGUGAAAAUCCUAUAAUCCCGGGAGGACCACCAGUGGCGAAGGCUGUCGGCUAGAACGCGCCCGACGGUGAGGGAUGAAAGCUGGGGGAGCGAACCGGAUUAGAUA